UACGUAGGUGGCAAGCGUUGUCCGGAAUUAUUGGGCGUAAAGCGCGCGCAGGUGGUUUCUUAAGUCUGAUGUGAAAGCCCACGGCUCAACCGUGGAGGGUCAUUGGAAACUGGGGAACUUGAGUGCAGGAGAGAAGAGUGGAAUUCCACGUGUAGCGGUGAAAUGCGUAGAGAUGUGGAGGAACACCAGUGGCGAAGGCGACUCUUUGGCCUGUAACUGACGCUGAGACGCGAAAGCGUGGGGAGCGAACCGG
rnacentral:rRNA from 1 species